UCCAGGCACAGUGGCGCAUGCCUGUAGUCCCAGCUACUCGGGAGGCUGAGGUGGGAGGAUCGCUUGAGCCCAGGAGUUCUGGGCUAUAGUGCGCUAUGCUGCUCGGGUGUCCACACUAAGUUCGGCAUCAAUAUGGUGACCUCCCGGGAGCGGGGAACCACCAGGUGGCCUAAGGAGGGGUGAACCGGCCCAGGUCCAAAGCAAAGCAGGUCAAAACUCCUGUGCUGAUCAGUAGUGGGAUUGCACCUGUGAAUAGCCACUGCACUCCAGCCUGGGCAACAGAGCGAGACCCUGUCUCU
rnacentral:SRP_RNA from 1 species